UACAGAGGUCCCAAGCGUUGUUCGGAUUCACUGGGCGUAAAGGGUGCGUAGGUGGCGGGGUAAGUUUGAUGUGAAAGCUCAGGGCUUAACCCUGAAAUGGCAUUGAAUACUACUUUGCUGGAGGUUUGGAGGGGGGACUGGAAUUCUUGGUGUAGCAGUGAAAUGCGUAGAUAUCAAGAGGAACACCAGUGGCGAAGGCGAGUCCCUGGACAACACCUGACACUGAGGCACGAAAGCUAGGGGAGCAAACAGG
rnacentral:rRNA from 1 species